AAGAUUCGGGUCGCAAGAUCUAUCUUUUCUCCAGCUGUGCGCUUCGGCUGCACGCUGUUGAAAUCCAACCUUCACACCUGUGAACCUUUCGGGGGCGCUCUGCGCUUCCGCUUUACAUGUAACAACUUAAGUUUAGAAUGUUUUAAUACUAUAAAGUAA
rnacentral:misc_RNA from 1 species